CGUGAAAUGCCUCAGCUGAUAUGAAAUAUAUGAGGUAAAGACUCCAGUUGGAGAUUCUGCCUGGCAGAGCCUAGAAGUGAUCAUACACGGAAGACAGUAAGCCCGGGGUGUUUGGUCAGUACAGACCACGAUGAGCACCCCUGCGGUCUUUCAGAAAGACCGACUAGUUAUUAGGCCUGAGUGGAGCAGAAGAACGUACGGGGGAAGAAAGCUAGAGGCAGGGAGCCCGUUUCACAAGUUAGUUUGGUAAUCAAUACCAGAAUAGUCAGCCUGAACCGAGAUGAUGGCAGGAAAGAACGAAAAAGGAAAACAGUCCUGAAUGAAGAAUGGGUCAGGGAACAGUCAGCACUGAGACCCACUGAGUCUGACUACGGGUCGGGCACCAUGUUCAACAAUGUAGGAUGUUUUAAAUUGUUAAUCCUCAGGCCCCCUCACAGUGCAGACGUUAACUCCCAGAUGCAGGAAUGAGAUCUUAGAGAAAUUAAGUAACUUGCCAUUGGACGGGCCAAGAUUUAAACCCACAUAGCCCAGCCCCAGUGUCCAGGCUUCUCACCACCACUUUGCCUUAGAAUCAGUCCUGUCCCAGGAGCAUUGUUCUCUCCCAUCCCCAUGCACAGAACACUGCUCAGCACACAGAAGGCAUUUAACACAGCCAGUCUUUGUUGAAUGAAUGAAAGUUUUUUUAACCCCUAUGUAUUUGAACUCUGUGAAUGAAUUUGGAUGGCUAAACAUUUGUAAGAGUAGCUGAGUCUCAGCUUCCUAGAUAUGGGGAAAGAAACUAAUAUAAUUGGAGUAUGGUGGUGGUUGAAUAAAAGUUCAAAAAUUCUUCCCACGUGCAGAAUACUUUUUCCAAGCCUCCCAUUACCAUCCAGAGAAAUAUCGUGAAGCUGAUCAGGGUAUCGGGGCUUCUGGAAAAGCAGCAAGUUCAAACGGGUUCACACAAUCCUCCUGCCUCGUCCUCCUGAAUAGCUGGAACUACAGGCAUGCACCACCAUGCUAAUUUAUUUAUUUUAACUGAUACAAGUAAAACGAGAGCCCUGUGGACCACCCCCAUGGAUUACAGCCACUUUGUGCGUGCUCAGAACUGAUUCUUUCCUAGAAAGUGCGUGGUGCAUGGCCAGACAUCCAUCUGGGAAGGAUCUGUGCCUCACCUCAGACCUCAGGACUCUAAGGAGGUCCUGGAAUGUGCUACAGUCGGGGCCAAGAAGCAGUUUUCCUUAACAGUUAUUUUAGAUCCUCUAUGUAGCCCCCCACACCUUAGUCUUGUGACGCUGGAAAGCUGCCUUAGGCAACAGUAACUGGAGAAAAUCUCCAAUUUAUCCCAAUGUGUUUCUAGGGGGAAGACUUGGUAGCCGGGAGAAACACACUCUCUCUCUCCACCAUCAGUCUCCCGACCCUCAGCUUUCAUUUCUGGCUAACUUCAGCAGUGUUGACAAGACAAAGAAAAUCUUUGCACUGUUUAGUCUACUUUUAAUUAUUUCAAUAUGGGACCUUCCAUG